rnacentral:rRNA from 1 species
CCGGCGAUUUCCGAAUGGGGAAACCCAGUGUGUUUCGACACACUAUCAUUAACUGAAUCCAUAGGUUAAUGAGGCGAACCGGGGGAACUGAAACAUCUAAGUACCCCGAGGAAAAGAAAUCAACCGAGAUUCCCCCAGUAGCGGCGAGCGAACGGGGAGCAGCCCAGAGCCUGAAUCAGUGUGUGUGUUAGUGGAAGCGUCUGGAAAGGCGCGCGAUACAGGGUGACAGCCCCGUACACAAAAAUGCACAUGCUGUGAGCUCGAUGAGUAGGGCGGGACACGUGGUAUCCUGUCUGAAUAUGGGGGGACCAUCCUCCAAGGCUAAAUACUCCUGACUGACCGAUAGUGAACCAGUACCGUGAGGGAAAGGCGAAAAGAACCCCGGCGAGGGGAGUGAAAAAGAACCUGAAACCGUGUACGUACAAGCAGUGGGAGCCUCUUUAUGGGGUGACUGCGUACCUUUUGUAUAAUGGGUCAGCGACUUAUAUUCUGUAGCAAGGUUAACCGAAUAGGGGAGCCGAAGGGAAACCGAGUCUUAACUGGGCGUUAAGUUGCAGGGUAUAGACCCGAAACCCGGUGAUCUAGCCAUGGGCAGGUUGAAGGUUGGGUAACACUAACUGGAGGACCGAACCGACUAAUGUUGAAAAAUUAGCGGAUGACUUGUGGCUGGGGGUGAAAGGCCAAUCAAACCGGGAGAUAGCUGGUUCUCCCCGAAAGCUAUUUAGGUAGCGCCUCGUGAAUUCAUCUCCGGGGGUAGAGCACUGUUUCGGCAAGGGGGUCAUCCCGACUUACCAACCCGAUGCAAACUGCGAAUACCGGAGAAUGUUAUCACGGGAGACACACGGCGGGUGCUAAC